UGCUGAGGAAUUUUACUAACAAUUCCUACUCUCACCUCUGUAUAUACCCACGUAAUCUCAGAUCUUCUGCAAAAUGAAGAAUAUCUCCUGCCAUUAAAACACUGGGUAUGCUGAUGCAUUCAAUGAGAGAAUAUAAGAUUUUCCUGAUUGCAAGCUUGGCACUCCAUCCACCACACCACCUAGCUGUACUUUUGGAUAGCUCUGAUUAAUACAUGGCACUGUGGACUGAGCACUGGACCUGGAGUCAAGAUCCUGCUCAAAAAUGAAACUCAGAAGAUAUAAAGGCUUCAUGAUGGCAUGGAAGUUAUUAUGGAUUUUCCAAAGUUACACUAGUAGGGAUGUUCAUCCUGGAGAAGAAUUACGGGGAGAAAGUGAUCACCUGUCUUUCUGUAUCUUUUAUUUCCAAGAUUCUGAGAUUCUUCAAAAAGAUGUAAGUCUGUAACACUAUUUGAAAGACUUUUGAUAGAAAGAGAUAAGACAUGCUCUGUUUUCCCUCAAAGGCAGACCCAGGAGCAAGGUUACAAGGAGUUAGAUUUCAGUUCAUUCAAAGGGAACACUUCCUAAUCAUUAGAGUUGUCCAAAAGAAGAAUGGACCAUCUUAAUGGGUAAUAAAUUCCCCAGUCACUGAAGAAAUACAAGCAGAAAUUGGAUAAGAUUGUAAGCCCCUCGAGGGCAGGAACUGUCUUUUGUACCCCGGCCACUUAGCAUAGUGC
rnacentral:lncRNA from 1 species